rnacentral:rRNA from 1 species
AUACGGAGGAUCCGAGCGUUAUCCGGAUUUAUUGGGUUUAAAGGGUGCGCAGGCGGGAGAUUAAGUCGGCGGUGAAAUUUUGCAGCUCAAAUGUAAAAGUGCCUUCGAAACUGGUUUUCUUGAGUGGAGAUGAAGUAGGCGGAAUUUGUGGUGUAGCGGGGAAAUGCAUAGAUAUCACGAGGAACUCCGAUUGCGCAGGCAGCUUACUAAACUACUACUGACGCUCAGGCACGAAGGCGUGGGGAUCAAACAGGAUUAGAUACCCUGGUAGUCCACGCAGUAAACGAUGAUUACUAGCUGUUUGCGAUACAAUGUAAGCGGCUGAGCGAAAGCGUUAAGUAAUCCACCUGGGGAGUACGUUCGCAAGAAUGAAACUCAAAGGAAUUGACGGGG